AUGGCGCGCGCCGCGGUCGUAAUCUUCUUCUUCGUCCUCGCCGUCGCAGCCGCCAGCGCCGCGCAGGCCCCCGCGGAGUCGCCGAAGGCGCCCGCAGCCUCCGCACCUGCCAAUGCGCCCGAGGUCGCGAAGAAGGCCGCGUCUGCCCCGGCGUCGAGGAAGUCCGGUCCUGGUGCCGCGCCAGCCAGCAAGAGCUCGCAGGCCGCCUUCUCUUCACCGGGUGCUAGGGCGUGGGCUUCUACCGGCGAGGCGUCUAGCCCACUGGUGCCCAUGGCCGUGGUGUUUCCUAUCGCCGACGGGCCUGGUGCCGCGCCAGCCAGCAAGAGCUCGCAGGCCGCCUUCUCUUCACCGGGUGCUAGGGCGUCGGCUUCUACCGGCGAGGCGGCUAGCCCACCGGCGCCCAUGGCCGUGGUGUUUCCUAUCGCCGACGGGCCCGGUGCCGCGCCAGCCAGCAAGAGCUCGCAGGCCGCCUUCUCUUCACCGGGUGCUAGGGCGUCGGCUUCUACCGGCGAGGCGUCUAGCCCACCGGCGCCCAUGGCCGUGGUGUUUCCUAUCGCCGACGGGCCUGGUGCCGCGCCAGCCAGCAAGAGCUCGCAGGCUGUCUUCUCUUCACCGGGUGCUAGGGCGUCGGCUUCUGCCGGCGAGGUGUCUAGCCCACCGGCACCCAUGGCCGCGGUGUCUCCUAUCGCCGACGAGCCUGCUGAGGGAUCGGAUCCGGCUGAUGCUGAGAAAUCUAGUGCUGCUGCUCUGGUGGACAACGCCGCCAUCGCUAUUGCUGGUUAUUUUAGAAAAGAAGGAUUAUUCCCGUCCUCUACAUCUGACUAA
rnacentral:rRNA from 1 species